CAAAUAAUAUCUUUCCCCAAAACUGAGCUUCUCACCUGAAGUGCUUUGCAGUUCUCAGUAUUCCUUAAAAUCUUAAAUUUGAUUAUUUUCAGCUGAACAGAGUCUUGUUUACCUUCUGCAGGGAUUAUUCUAGCAACUCCUGAAAUGCAAAACCUUCUGUGGCAAGAGAGAAGAGGCAGUCUUGUGACUACAGCUCUGACCUGAUGGACAUGCUCUCUUCAAGUAGGACUUCAUUCAGGUAGUAAGACCAAGAACUGCAUUAAAAAACAGGAAGAUUGGCCCUAGGCAGACAGAUGACAGAAAUACAACAGCGCACAAGAGCCCAGUCUCAGUUCUCACACGUAUGCUAGUUAACACUUUGAUGGCUGAGUUACAUUCUAAGCAAAUCUAAGCUGCUUAAAUAUAAAAGCCUGAUUUGGAAAGCUAUUGUCUGGAGAUUGUAUUUGCAUAACAACAAAUAGAGUCAACCUACAUUGUCCAGUGUUGAAGGAAAAAUAACCUAUGGAGAAAAGGAAGGCAAUUUGCCCUGCAGUGAGUCAUCAGGCUCUGCUGUGCUGAAAGAAGACGACAUUUUUGAGGAAAAGGCUGCUGGCAUAUAUCUAUUGCAGAGGAGAAGAAACAUAUAGUGUGGGAAUGGUCAUACCAGGAGAACUGUCAAAGAAUUGGGGAAAAACAGCAGUGAAGAGAUAUCCAGAAAAUCAUCAUGAUUCUCUGCAAGAUCCUUUGAGGAACUCCACUACAAGAAAACAAAAAUGGUGUGCUCUUGAGAGGUGAUAUUUUUCUAUUGGAUCUCAGUACUUCAUCAUCUGGUUUGGCAGCCCAUGUCAGUUAUGAGAGUAUAUUUGGUAUGAGCAUCCCAUUUCAUCAGUUAGGAAGUAACCAUGUGUUAUAACCUGUUGUUGACUUAUACAUCCUGGUUCCUCUGGAAAAUAUGAAAUGAAGCUGUU
rnacentral:lncRNA from 1 species